CGGUAAUACGUAGGGGGCAAGCGUUAUCCGGAUUUACUGGGUGUAAAGGGAGCGUAGACGGUUUUGCAAGUCUGAAGUGAAAGCCCGGGGCUUAACCCCGGGACUGCUUUGGAAACUGUAGAACUAGAGUGCAGGAGAGGUAGGUGGAAUUCCUAGUGUAGCGGUGAAAUGCGUAGAUAUUAGGAGGAACACCAGUGGCGAAGGCGGCUUACUGGACUGUAACUGACGUUGAGGCUCGAAAGCGUGAGGAGCAAACAGGAUUAGAUACCCUGGU
rnacentral:rRNA from 1 species